UACGGAGGGUGCAAGCGUUAUCCGGAUUCACUGGGUUUAAAGGGUGCGUAGGUGGGCUGGUAAGUCAGUGGUGAAAUCUCCAGGCUUAACUUGGAAACUGCCAUUGAUACUAUCAGUCUUGAAUACCGUGGAGGUCAGCGGAAUAUGUCAUGUAGCGGUGAAAUGCUUAGAUAUGACAUAGAACACCAAUUGCGAAGGCAGCUGGCUACACGAAUAUUGACACUGAUGCACGAAAAGCGUGGGGAUCAAACAGG
rnacentral:rRNA from 1 species